rnacentral:rRNA from 1 species
UACGUAGGGGGCAAGCGUUGUCCGGAUUUAUUGGGCGUAAAGAGCGUGUAGGCGGCCAUACAGGUCAGCUGUGAAAACUCGAGGCUCAACCUCGAGACGUCGGUUGAAACCGUAUGGCUAGAGUCCGGAAGAGGAGAGUGGAAUUCCCGGUGUAGCGGUGAAAUGACGCAGAUAUCGGGAGGAACACCUGUGGCGAAAGCGGCGCACUGGACACAACUGACGCUGGGGCGCGAAAGCUAGGGGAGCAAACAGGG